UAGCAAAGCUAAGCGCCAUGCACCACAGUCUGCGCACGUGAACAGCGAAAGCUGGCGGAUUGGGGUUAACGAGGUGAAGAGAUUAUCGAACUUUCGGCGGGUACUCUUCCAUGCCGCUUCGGGCGUGUGAUACCGGAUGAAAUAUGCGGGCAACUGCAAAACAACCAUCCUGUAACCGAAGCAU
rnacentral:ncRNA from 2 species